UGUUUAUUAUAUGGCUGUUUCUUCACUGUCAUUGCUUUCUUCCCAUGCUUUCUAUCUUUGGCAGUAUUCGUGAGAAAUAAAUCUGUUCAGCGUUCACUUGGACUUGGGGAGUCCUCAAUUAGUUGAUGAUGGAUUUUUUGGCAGUUGGAGAGGAGUUGAUGCCCCAUAGGGAUUUUUCGAACAUUGGCAGUUGUUCCCAAGGGAAGCCAGCUGCUGCAAAUGCAAAUGAUUGUCAGGCACCAUUGCAGCAUCUGGUGACUGUAAAGAACCUAUCAGUUGUUGUUGGAGACUCUUCUGGGAUUGGUGAUGCCAAUAGUGGCAUCCGGAGGUGCAAGCGUAAACUUGAGUUCCUUUCUGUUUGAUGCCUCGCCGUAAAUAUAUAUGUUUUGGAAUAUGAUUUGUGAUGUAUAUAGUAGCUAGGCAGGUAGAUAAGUUUUUGUUUAUCUACUAUUAGUUUUUUAUGAUUUAUUGGAUUUUUUUUCUUUAAA